rnacentral:rRNA from 1 species
CCUACGGGAGGCAGCAGUGAGGAAUAUUGGUCAAUGGGCGUAAGCCUGAACCAGCCAAGUCGCGUGAGGGAUGAAGGUUCUAUGGAUCGUAACCCUCUUUUAUAAGGGAGUAAAGUUUGGGACGUGUCCCGUUUUGUAUGUACCUUAUGAAUAAGGAUCGGCUAACUCCGUGCCAGCAGCCGCGGUAAUACGGAGGAUCCGAGCGUUAUGCGGAUUUAUUGGGUUUAAGGGGUGCGUAGGCGGCCUUUUAAGUCAGCGGGGAAAGUCUGGGGCUUAACCAUAGAAUUGCCGUUGAAACUGGGAGUCUUGAGUAUGUUAGAGGCAGGCGGAAUGCGUGGUGUAGCGGGGAAAUGCGUAGAUAUCACGCAGAACACCGAUUGCGAAGGCAGCCUGCCAGGCCAUGACUGACGCUGAUGCACGAGAGCGUGGGGAUCAAACAGGAUUAGAUACCCGUGUAGUC